rnacentral:miRNA from 1 species
AACUCUGUCUUCACUCAUGAGU